AUUGAACGCUGGCGGCAUGCUUUACACAUGCAAGUCGAACGGUAACAGGCCGCAAGGUGCUGACGAGUGGCGAACGGGUGAGUAAUGCAUCGGAACGUGCCCAGUCGUGGGGGAUAACGCAGCGAAAGCUGCGCUAAUACCGCAUACGAUCUAUGGAUGAAAGCGGGGGACCGUAAGGCCUCGCGCGAUUGGAGCGGCCGAUGUCAGAUUAGGUAGUUGGUGGGGUAAAGGCUCACCAAGCCAACGAUCUGUAGCUGGUCUGAGAGGACGACCAGCCACACGGGGACUGAGACACGGCCCAGACUCCUACGGGAGGCAGCAGUGGGGAAUUUGGACAAUGGGCGCAAGCCUGAUCCAGCAAUGCCGCGUGCAGGAAGAAGGCCUUCGGGUUGUAAACUGCUUUUGUACGGAACGAAACGGUCCUGGUUAAUACCUGGGGCUAAUGACGGUACCGUAAAAAUAAGCACCGGCUAACUACGUGCCAGCCGCCGCCGUAACAC
rnacentral:rRNA from 1 species